rnacentral:lncRNA from 1 species
UAUAACACCAUGUUGUGAAGGGUGCGGUGGAAGCCUGUAGACUAAGUACAAAGGGCGUAUAGAAGAGAAUGGAAUUAAUUAGCCAAAGAGGGCAGUGGAGAGGAAGCAACUGUAGAAGAUCUCACAGAAGCGAUGACAUUUGCCUUGGGUGUUCAAGCACGCAUGGGAGUUCACCAGGCCGACAAAUGGAAAAUGGUAUGAGCAAGAGGACAAGGACCUUCAAAUCUAUCCUCUGUGGUUUAUGUUCUGUUGUUUUGAAGUUUAUGAAGUCGGAGAGGUGACACUGCCAGAUUGGCGUUUCAGAGAGCUAACGCCGGUGGCAGUGUGAGUCUGGAAGCUUUGGAAGGGCAUCAUCAGGGCAGGGAGGCCAGUUGGGAAGCUGUCACCCGAGCUGUGAGAGAUGAUGAGGGCCUGACCUGAGGCAGCAGCAGAGGGAAUGGAUCAGAAUUGGUAUGUCUGGGACCAAUGAGGCAUAAAUACUGAGGGACAAGACAGAGUUGGGACUACUUGGAGAAGUCUUGUUGGCCUACCGAGGUGGAUGGUGGCGCCGUCUUCUGAUAAAGAACUCAAAGAAGCUUGUCAUGGGGGGAGGAUGAUGAGUUCCACUUUGACACCUUGAGGUGCCUGUGGGACAUCCAGGUGGGAAGUCUGUAGGUGUGUAGGGAUGUGGAGGUAAGGAGAGAAAGUCAGAGGUUGCUUGGAGGGGCCCAGGCUUGGAAGUAGCCCUCCAGGUAGAAAAGGUCAGCUCCAGCUGGACCUAGACUCGUCCCUUGGCCCUGAGCCUCCCAGGCUCUUAGUGCCGGGGGCCCUGGCUUGUUCUUCUUGGUUACCUGCCCGAGCGUGGAGUUCUGUCCUGCACGUCUCCAUGGUAGCUGCUGCUUGCUGGCCUCUUCACCUUCUCAGUGAUGGCUGCCUGCUGCUUCCUUGGAUUUCUGAGUGUUGUCUCUCACCCUUCAGAAAGGCCAGGCAACAAGUAUUGGGCCUUCCCCUUGCUGCUCAAGCUGAGAGCGGGGCUCGGAGGCCCUGCCUCCUGUUGGUCCCCAAGGCUGCCCCCAGAAUGGGGAGGGGCUCUCCAGGGUGGCCCCUGGAUCCUUGGGAAUAGGCAAGAGCACCUGAGAAGCAAGGAGAGCAAGAAAAGAAAGGGGCCUGAGACAGCUUGGAAGAUUCUAGCAUCCACAGGCUGGGUAGAGAGAGCAGAGUCAGCCACAAACACUGAGGAGUAGUUUGGUGUCCCUGAGCCUGAAGGACAGCAGUGUUCCAGAAGUCACCUGCAUCACAAGCUGAAGAGCUAAGGAGCGCCCAAUCGGGGUAGUGCCGCCAUGUCACUGGCGUUAUUGAGAGCAGAUGGGGAAAAUCGGAUUUGAAUGGCCAGGAAGUAAGUAGACAGUGAGAAGACAUGGAUUUGGGGUUCUGGAAAACUCCAUUGAAAAGUUUUGCUGUAAAGGGGAGAGAGACGGGGACUCAAGGGACAUAUGGGGAGUGGGGGAAGUUUGGCUUUGUUUACUUAUAUUUAUUUUUAAGGUAGAAGAGACUAGAGCAUGUUUCAGUGUGGGAACGGAAUGGGCCCGGGAAGAGGGGGAAAAGAAAGAUGCGUAAGUCAGGUGUGAUGAAUGAUGGCCAAAAGCCUCAGGUUCCUGAGACGGUGGGAGGAUAUGACCUUGGGCUGCAGACCGAAAUGUUGGCCUUCCUUCUGAGGAGGGAAGCCUCUUCGUUUACAAUAGGAAAGAAAGAGGGGAUGACGGGUACAGUGCAGGGGACUGCUGACAGCAGGAAGGCAAGCCAUCCUUUAGGAAGGCUAUACUUUCUCUGUAGCAUUAAUGUGCACCUAAAACUCUAUUAUUAUUAACAAUAACGAUUACCACAACGUAGCAGUACCAGUAACGACUGUUAACUAUGCUAAUGUAGUCAAUAACUCAUUUAAUCCUCACAACAAACUGAUUGUGCAGGUUCUAUUUUAUAGAUGAGGAAACCAGGGUUCAUAGAGAUUAAGUGACUUGACCGAGGUCACCAUUGGUAAAUAAUAGAGCCAAGACUUGAACCCUAAGCUGAUUCCCAAACCCCUGCUAUUGCUAUUACUAUGGCUACUGUAUGGCUGUUAGUAUUACAUUGACAUCAGGGGCCAACUUCUUUUACAAUUGCACGUUGUCCUUCCUGCUG